CCCACAUGGCUGUGGGGCCAUAUAAGCUCUUGGGUGGAGCCUCAGCUGUUUCUUCGAGCUGUGGUGAACGUGGGUCUGAUCUUGUCCUGUUCUUUGGGUUUUCUGGUUUAACUGCAUGUGUCUUUUAUUCUUCCUGAUGGUUGUUGGUGACUCCGUAGGACGUGCCACUGCUCUGCUCAACCAGCUCCUGCGCUGUGGGACCGUGCUCCUGUUAAGAAGUCAAUGUCAAGAAGAUAGAUUGAAUCUUGAAUUUGAGUAACAAAUUCCUGGAUUUGUAAGCAUCCCAGUGUUUAAGACAUCUGCCACUCACUUCCUCCUUUCCAGAGCGUCAUUGCAAAAGGAGUAAUGAGGGGAUUGUUUCAGGCUUUCCUUUCAUGACACUUAGGAGGAAAGGAAACUGCUGUUGAAUAUGAGAUGCCUGGGAUUUCUGUUUUAUAUUAUACUUCUUAAAUGUUUGAACUCUGCUUCAGGAUGGAACAAGUUAGAAUUGAAACUGCAGGGUGGAAUGUAGACUUCAUCCCACAGUCUUACACGGAAGGAAAAAGAGCUACAAAGAAUAAUGAUCCAUGGAUUCUAGAGAGGGACACGGAUUCUUUACUGGACUUUCUCUUGUGGGGCACUUGCAAUCGUCCAGCUGCUGUGAGUCAGCUUGGUGUGGUGGAAACUGAAGCUGUGAGAUGUGCAGUGGUUACCAUAGCAUACAGUGAAUGAAGGUGUGCAAGCACGAGGGAGCUAAGAUGUCCCCUAACAGCAGGAUGAAUAAUGACUUGGUCGCUAAAGAAGAAAACGGAUGUGGAUGUCUCAGUGUACGCAGAGCAGAAUAGACAAUGGCUUCACCUACUUGAGAAAUUACUAUGUUGGGCUGGCAGGACUUAUGUGAGGAAAUGCAUGUUAUACAUUAAAUGUGACACAAGAGAGAUGAAUUAUGCAGUAAGCUCAGUGUGUGCUGAUCAGCACAAAGCCCAAGGCACAUUCAGCAGAGUUUCUAUGAAGAUCUGUAAUGAGUUUCAAGUACAUCAUUUCCUGGUGGAGGCUAUUCAGCCAAGACAGAAACAACUCCAUGCUCCUGGAUGGCCAAGUUGCAAACGAGGUUGAUCUGUCUGAACUGCUGAAACUUGAUGACUUGCAAUCAACAGUCUGUAGAACAAUACGGUUAACAGUGUGAAGAUGUGGAUUUUUUUCUGCCUCUAAAUGCUGGGUUCUGUGCUGGGCCAGUAAGGUAAGUCUGACUUUAGUUGACCGCCCAAUAGAAGAACAGAGUGCAAGUAAAGGGAGUAAAGAUACUUGAAGAUAUGUUGAGCUGUUAAUACAGCACUCACUUCUUAUAUCUAGAAGGGGCAAGUUUGGCUGCAUAACCUUCUGACAAACGUCAUUUUCUUGUUAAAUGUUAAAUCACUGAUGGGACCCUUUGAUUGGAGAUUGUUUUUCAAAGACCCACAGUCUACGCCACAACCUUGCAGAAGGAUCAGGAGCAUGUGCUAACGCAAUCACAAGAGCAGUAUUUCCCAUGAAGGUGAAACAACAGUCCACUAAAUUAUUUUUUUAAAACCAGUGAGAUUAUACUUAUUUGUUCCAUGCAGCUAGAAUUGUUACAGGAUUACAUGCUUUGAUAUGAAAUGCAAGUUUGGAUCCAAUUCUUAGAGGAGCUAAACCUGGAUCUUACACUAAAUCCAGUGCUAGCAGCUCUGGACAGUAUGGGUAGGCUCCAUGAGGGUCAGGCACAUUACAUAAUUACUCACAGAAACUGGCAUCACACUUACCUAUGGUCCAGCAUGCCCACUUCUCAGUAGAUUAGUGCUGGCUCAUACAGCCAUAUUUAAUCUUGCUCCUUUGGAGGGGACCUCACCAUAGCUUGGUUACACCCAAAUUCAUAUUGCACUCUAAAAUAAAAUAAAAAAAAUUGUAAGGACUGGCAUAUGCAUAACCCUAAGGGGUGCUGCUUGAGGUAUUCAGAAGCGAUACAGACAGCUACAUCCACAUCAGUGUGUGUCUGUUAUUCUCCAUCUAAAUAACAGGGCGGAUAUCUGUGACAUUUGGAAAAAAAAAAUAAGAUGAAUUUGUCCAAUAUGUGUGCAGGGAUAUGGGAUAACAGCACUGCAUGGAUGGAAUAGCAGGGAGUGCCUGGGGUCAGCGGGUGAGUGGCAAUGCUGUGUGGGGAUGGUUGUAUGGGGCCACUCACAGCAUUGCCCCAGCCCAUGGUUGGACAGGCAGGGUGAGCUAUUCUUAGUCAAGAACUUCAUGCAGAACCCAGCCCUUAGAAAAAAAGAGCAAAAUAGCUUUUUGACCAGAAGAUUGAGGCUUCUUAUGUGGUUUGAGGCUGUCAUCUGAUGAACAGCUUGUCCCAGAAGUUAUAGCUAACGUCACUGCUGAGUGCUGUGGCACGUAUUCCAAAUGCACGAGACAGAUCGUGAACAAAAACUGUGUUUGUUUCAAAUUCAUACUCCUAAUACUAUUGACUUAAAUACUUGUGGUACAUUAGUAUCUGUAGCUCAAAUCAGGAAAGCUGCAAAAAGUAGCCAUUGUUAACAAGGUUCUGUUUCUUCCUGAAAUUAAAUCAACUGGCAUCAAUUUGAAGAAAAUUUGCUGUAAUGAGUUUUUCUUACUGAGAGUGACCAAAGCAGAACAUAGGAAGGAGUGCAGCAAAUCAAAGAAGCAAAGAAAAGGUUGGGAAGACAGACAAGCAGCAGCUAAUGCAGCCAUGCCACGGUGUUGAAGCGCGAUGUCGGGUGAAAUGCAGGCAUUGUGUGGAGCCAUGAGAGCGCCAGCAGUGCAUGGCACGUGGGAACACAUUCAGGCCUACACCAAUGAGAAGAAACAGGAAAGGCUGUGGGCAUCCCACUGCCUUUGCUGUGCUGAUUCCUGGGGAAGCAGAAGAAGAGCUCCAGCAGCAGCCUCACAUGGGCCCAGCACUGGGAGCAGAAGCUCAGCAUCACCCACUACAGCCUCCUUUCUACAGCACUGCCAGGUGGGUGCAAGGUGCUCAGGGGAGCCCUAGAGGUAAUGGGCUGAGCUGAGGGGUGCCAGCUGCUCCUUAACGUCAGGAGUAUGAGGGUCACAAUGAAGGUCUGGAAGAAACUAAGAGUAUUUUUUAAUCAAUAAUUCUAAGUUUCUCUCUCCUGGCCUUAUGCCAGGUCUUAGUGUUACUCUAAUGAAAACUGUAGAAAAUGUAUACACACACAUAAGCUUGCUUAGCUAGGAAAUGAAAAAAUAACGAACAUUUACAGCCAGUAAUCAAAAUGAUAAGCAAUCCAUCUGUUGGCAGAGGAGCAUUUUAUAUGACCAGUGAUGCAGAAGGCUCCUGCAGGUAAGCUACAGCAGCAAUCCAGCUGAGGCACUGCACCCUACCAGCUCUAGGAGCUAUGUGAGGUGGUGCUGCUGAUAUCAGCCUCUGGAGCUGACCUGGUGCUGCAGGAACCUGCUGCUGUGCUGGGUCUUGUUCCACAGGGCAGGCUCUUCUCAUAAACUAUGUGGGGAAUUAAUAUAAUUAUACCUGUGCAAGUAGGAGGAAAAUUAAAACAUAUGUUAUCAGUUCCUAAAAAAUCUCUGAGUAGCCACCAAAGUAGUUGUAUAGUCUACAAAGCACAGUUGGAAAGAGUACUGCAGUGAGAUAGCAAAGGAACAAACAGAGAAGAACUGCUCACCUGUAUGCAAAGAUUUAGGCUCACACUGAAAAGCUCCACAAAGGAGGGAUCACCACAAGGAGAUUCUUCCCCAGUGUUAGUCAGCCCUUAAAUGGGGUCUGGGAGGGGUGGAAUGUGGUCACACAGCUUCUGGUCACAUAGCUGAAUUGCUUUCACCUGUGCUCCCACAGCUGAUUCAGUCCUUGCCUCAGGUGAUCAAUUGGUGGUUCAGGCUGUGAUUCAACAGUUCCCAUGCAGUACUUUAUCCAAACACUGAACAACCGUGCUGUACCUUCGUAGCAACGUGAGGAGUUCUACACGUUGAGAGAUGACUGCCUCAACUUUCAGCUUUCAGCCCUGACUCUUCUUAAAGUGUACAGUAACAUCUUAAAAAAAAAAGGAAGAAGCAGCAGCAAAGUGGGUGUAUUCAUGUCUGGAAAAACAGAGCUGACAAGUUAAAGACGAUCUGAAUGUCUUAAGGUGUAGGACUCUGCACUUGCCCUUGUUGAACCUCAUCACGAUCCCCUCUGCCCAACUCUGCAGCCUGCCCAGGUCUCACUGAACGACAGCACAACCGUCUGGUGUGUCAGCCACUCCCAGAUUUGUAUCAUCACACAACUUGCUGAGGAUGCUGUCCAUGCAUUCAUCCAGUUUACUGAUGAAGAUGUUCAACAAGACUGGACUCAGUACCGAUCCUGUGAAAACACCAACUAGGAUUGCGCUACUGAUCCUAACCCUCUGUGCUGUGCCAUCAGCCAGUUCUCAGUCUGCCUUACUGUCCAGUCAUCUGUUCCACAACUCCUAACUUCAACCAUGAGGAUGUUAUGGGAGAUAGUGUCAAAAGCCUCACUAAAGUCAAGGUAGACAACAUUCACUGCUCUCCUCUCAUCUAUCCAGCCAGUCACAACAUCACCCAAUAUUUUACUAGAUUAACUUUUGCAAUCUAAGCUAGUUAGAUGAUUAUUAUCACUGUAGACUCAUACAAGCCUAAAUGUACCUCCCAUCACCAAACAACUAUCUUCUUAGAUAUGAUUUUUGGACAGUACAUACACAACCAAGAAAGUGAAUGAACUCUGAAAGUGGAGCAUUUCAAACUGUAUCCAGAAAAAAGUAAGAAUAUUUUUGCAUAUGAAUUCGUUUAACCAGUACCUUGCAGUAACCAGCAUUCAGCAGAGGCUCCCCAUUUGAGGGUUCAACUUGACUGGCUGCAGCCUUGAGCGAUCUGACGUAGUGAGACCUUCUUUGAGCAGGGCGUGGAUUGAGGUGACAUCAAGAGUUCCUGUCCAGCCUGAAGUGUUCUGUGAUUCUAAAACUGACCUGAAGAAAUUAGAAAUAUUUUCCUUGAAGAUGCUAUUAAAUUAACAUUUAUGACAUUCAAUUUCAUUUCUUAUUUAUAUAAAAAAGGCUGAAACUUUGUAUUUGCUAUUUAUAAUUGUUUGUAGGUAAUAUUUUCAUAAUAAUUAUGUGCAAAAGAACUUAUUAUUAUUUAUUUAACUUUUGUUUAAGGUUUGAAUAAAACAGAAAAAGUAAAUUUAUUAAUCCAUAAGUGGCCAUACUAAAGCACACUGGGUGCCUCUGGUAUAAACCCCACUAUCCAAGGAGAGAUGUUCAGCUAAAACUCUAAAAUGGUGGUUUGAAACAUACGCUGAUAUCUUUAAUUCUUCUAUGCUGGAAAUGUAAAAUGACAAUUGCUAAUGAGAAAAACCUCCCUGCUAAGUUGUAAUAACAACUUUAAGAACACUUGCUAAGAGAUAGACCACAUUGAGGAAAGCCAAAUCUAGUUGAUCUCACCUUCUCAAUUUCAAAUAUCCUUUGUGGUAAUUACAUUUCAUUUAGAAAAAUAAGUCUGAAGGAAGUGCACGCAUGGCAGGUAGUUUGGCAUCGGCCACUUCUACAGUUCUCAGAUGUGUCGCAGCCAAGAAAAUGUUCCAGAAUUUAAUUCUUUUCAGAUAGUUGAGCUCAUGUAAACUUUACUCUUGAUGAGGACUACAGAUGAAAUAUCUGGAUGGUGUUCCAAAUAAGGCAUUAAAUGCCUCCUACAAUAGAACCCAUCACGUUCUCCCAAUUUCUCCCUUGUUUAAAGUAAUUACAAAUCAUGCUGUGGAACUCUGAUGAUGUUUAUGGAAAACAAGUAAGAAAAUUCAUUCCAGAAAAGCCUGAGUUGUUUUCUGCCUACCAUGGUUUCUCCAUCACACCCGUUCUUUGGCUGCAUUUCAAGUAGCCUCACAAAGACACAGAAAAGAUAAUGAAAAUUCUUGAACUCUUUCUUGUCUGCCAGAGGUGCAGGAAAGCUGCAGACACAUAGAUCAGCAUCCUCAGAGCUCUACCAGUGGUUUCUGUCCCUCCGAUGAGCUCUAGGAAACAUUAGGAACCCACCUGGACUGUCUGAGGUUAGUACUUCAGGUUUAAAUUGAAAUUUUUGCAUGUAAAACAGCCACAAAAGGUAUAUUACAGAGAGCUCUGCGAAAGGCAGCACCGUUUGAGACAAUCUUUGAGGUCUGCUCUGAGUAACCCGAAUACCUCAGAUAUAUACAGCCUUAUUGUCAUCCAACAUUAUUGCUGUUAGUCCCUUGUAUUAUCACAGAAGAUGGCAUUUACUGUUGAACUUAACAAAAUUAUUUUGAAGAAUUAAUAAUUCUGGAACUAAGCAUCCAUGGUUCUUACCUCAGCUUAGUCUGAAGCACUGCUCCAACUGGCUGCCUCUGUUUCGCAGCACGUUUCUCAUACUGAGUAUUCUCAUAGCACAGACGUAUCCUCUAGUUGAAACCAGUGACGUGGGGGAUCCUCUCACUUUAAGCCUGAGUCUACCUGUCACUGACUGAAGGGCACUGAGGUCAGUUGACUUAAAAAGACUAAUUUGUAAUCCGCGCCUGCUGAAGGGAUAAGUAAAUCCAAAGAGAGAGGCUCAUAAAUUCCCAGAAAGAUCUUGGUAUCAUAACAAUAGAUCUGACAGCACUCUAAAGUUUGGCCUCCGUCUUGACAAAGAGGAAUCACAACCAGUCUCGGUGUAGUUCCCCAGCAGGAGAUAGUUGUUAAAGUGCUGUCAAGCAGCCUGUGCCCUCCUCAUCUCAUGGCAACUUGGCAUCAACCCCUCUGCCAGCUUCCACCAACACUGAGAUAACAGCACACCUCCAAUAAUAGAUGUGGGAGAAAAGAAGAACAAGGUGUGCUUUCAUACUUUGCCAUUUACUUACCUGCAUCUCCUUUUUACAUCAUCAUUUAAGGAGAUACUUCCACAUAAGUGGUCUCAGGGCAGGGCACAGACCGGCGAUUUAUAAAAAAAUACCAGAAUUUGAAUAGGAUUCGAUUAAAAACUGCUGUAUGAGCUGAAUGCACUUCGGAAUUAAUCUUGGUGUACUUUUUUCUGAACCACCUAUUAAAGCUCUACAUCGAGAAUAAUAUUCACUACUGCCUUCUACUGAGUUUUUGCUGGAACUUGUCCUGUUCUGCUUCCUGCCCAUCAUAAUCACAUCAUCUCUCCUGCAACCAGAGCCUUUCAGUUCUGGAAACUGGCUGAGAUCGACCCAGUAAUGUGCACCCAAAGGAAAGUAAUUUCCUGCCUUGAAUAAGUUCUGCAUUCAGAAGAAUUUAAUGUCACUGUCAUCCUCAGAGCUGGCAGGAGGAGCCACCAGUUUGCUGACCAAGGCUGCCAGUGAGGCACACGCUGUGCUGAGGGGCGCUAGCAAGGGUGGUGAUUCCAUCUGGCAGCACCCAACGCUGCCUGUUUGUGUUGGCCCUUGCCCAUUUCAGCAGCUAUACGGCCUAGGCAAUCUCAGGAAUGGUCAUGAAAUUAUUACCUUAAAUUGUCUUCAAAGAGUAGUCCAGAUUUAUGAUUGUCUUAAAGCACAUAAACACAUUUGAGCACAUUUUACCCAUUUCAAGGGAUACGCAACACACAAGGGGAGUUUUUCCCUUCCUUCUUAGGGCUGUAAAAACAAAACCAGGACGCUUCUUGCCAAACUGGCUCAAAGUCUGCAUGGAUUUGGUUGGACAGAUACAGUGGAAAACUAUACCCAGUCUUUUGAGUACCGGCCUGUGCACCUCCUUACAUCUCAGUACUGUCAGCUUCUAAUGCAAGAUCUCCAGCAAAAGUUUGCUUUUGUUUGGAUUUCAUGUUUAAAAAAUAAACCGUAUGAAACUGGUUGUCAUUUUGGAUCUGUAAAACACAGCCAUUUUAUCUCACUGGAAACAGUAGCGGAGGAUUUCUGCUCUGCUCUUCUCGAUGACGCUCUCAUAGGGUUUUCCAUCCCC
rnacentral:lncRNA from 1 species